ensembl:lncRNA
UUUUCAAAUUCUCAAAUUUUCAAAUAAUCUUUGGAGUGAAACUAAUAAGAAAUAUGGGGGGAAAAGGGUAAAUAAAUGCAAACGCUUGCCUUGCUACUGCUUUGAAAGGAUUAAUGAGAUGCUGAGGGUGGGAUCCAAUCUGCAUGGCUAGGGCAUUUGAGGUGCUUCUGAAUGUUAAAUACUUAUAAAGCAGCCACCUAAAGGCAGGCACUCUCUCUAAUCAGUGAGGAGAGUUCCUCUGAAAGGCCUUCAGGCAUUUCAGUUAGACUGAUAGGAUUUCCUUUUAGAAACCUUCAAAGACAACUACCUCUUUCCAUUGUAUGUGAAGGUAAUGGAGCUCGCCCACUUAUUUUUACCAGGAUUGCUAAGGAACUUAAGCAGGAGGGACUUCAUAUCACCUUGAGUUACUUGGUUGAUCCACAGAUGAGUGAUGAUAUGGAUAAAUAGUGUCUGUGUUUGAACAGCCAUGAUAUAAUUCCCGCAGCAUCUCUUCAGAGUGUCUCAUACGCUUUCCACAGAAGAAAGCAUGAAGCAGGUCUCUCAUUUGGACAGCAGGAGCUGUGAAUCACUUAAAGAGUCUAUGACACUCAAUUUAGAUAAAUGAUAUUGAGUACUCCUUAACAGAUGCUGUGAUAGGACAAGGGGAAGUGAUUUCAAACUGAAAGAGGGGAGAUUCAGACUGAAGAUUUUUACAAAAGAGUAAGGCAGGUUGCCUGGAGAUGUGGUAGAUGCCCCAUCCCUGGAGACCUUGAAGGUUUGACUGGGGCGCUGAGCAACCUGAUAUAACUGUAAGUAUCCCUGUUCAUUGCAGGGGAGUUGGACUAGAUGGCUUCUAAAGGUUCCUUCCAGCUCGAAUGAUUCUAUGAUUCUAGUGGCCAUAGAAAUGGAACUCAGAACUCACCCAGGGUGUCAUCAACUUCUGUACAGGGCUAUGCUGACAAGAAAAAUGCAUAGCUUUUUCUUUGUAAAUCUUUUGAGUUACAGAAAAAAAAUUUAAAAAAAUCACCCACUAUUAUUACUUGAAGGAAUGACUGAAGACUGUGGAGUGGAUGAAGUUUACGGAGACCAGAGAUGUUGCUGGGGCCUGCAAGCAUUAAAGGUAUCAUGAGGAAUAGCAGAUGGUCUUACAGGUCUUAUAUCUUUGUCUGAUGUUGGACAAAGAUGAUAAGAAAGUAUGCAUUAAGUCAAUCUACUUAGCCAUUUUUAGCAAAAAUUCCCCCAGUGUCAUUCCUCACUAUUUUAGUGAAUAAGAUUGCUGUAACAUCUGAAUUUGUGAAUGUAUCCCUAAUGAAACACAUGAAUUUACCUUGGAUUGUUGUAAUCUAUUUUACAUCUAGAGCCAAUUUAUGAACUGAGACUGUAACAUUAUCUGUUUGGCCACGGUUACGUAGGAUUUAGGGAGACCAAUACCAUAGUUAGACCAAUAAAAAUGUUCUGAAGCUAACCUAUGUUUAUCUGCUAGGCAUUCCAGUAGUUUCUUUUAUCUCUGUAUCUGUAGAAGGUCAGCAUCUCUUAUCUCACUGUAAACUUCAAUCUAUUGCUGGCAUAUAGGCUUACAGAGCAAGACUUCCCGUGCUCUGCUGCUCUGCAAACUCAAUUCCUAAGAGCAAAAGGUUGCUGAGUUAGUUUCUUGAUCUUCUUGGUAUGGAGAAUUCCUCUAAAGUGUGAACCCUCUGAAGUGGGGAAUGGUAAAAUGAAGAGAGAAUGAAGGAUAUAUACUCAGGGAUUGCCAUGCUCCCUAGAAGAAUAACAAAUAUAGAAGAAUGUGCCAUCACAGAGGUGCUGAAACAGGAACAUCCUUUUUUUAGGUCUUCAUCUUAUGUAGUUCAAAGCCUAUUUUCCCCAUCACUAACUUACUCUGCAAAUCUUUCUCUUCCUCAAAUUCAAGGCUUCUUGCACCUCAGCAAUUUGUAAAUGCAGUACAAUCGUAUCUCAACAAACAGGUCCAUGUUACAGGGACUCAUUUUGGUCUUGGAUACUGUGGGUACUUUUCAUAUAAAAAGCUGUCUAUCACAUCCUGUGAAUCUUUUUGAAUGUUGCCAGGGUGGACUGGAAAAGCUAGGUAGAAGAAGGGCCCGAUUAGCUAGAGCUGAAGUCCAUGAUGUCUUGGAUGUUGUGCAACUAUAUCAUGAGAUUGUACAUUUUGACAAUGUUAGGGGCACAUAUUUAAGCCUGGAGAAUUCACCACCAUUCUGGCAGCUGUACAGCAUGAGAAGACCAUGUGUGCUUUGUGUAUUUCUCCUUUUGUGUGAUAUAAAAGAAUCUUUGAUUAGUAUCAGAAACCUAUGGAGUUGUUGGAGGUAAUCACGUGCUGAGGAGCCUGAACACAUCCCUGUGUGCUGACUGAUUCUGUGAUCAUACUUGAGGGUGCACCACACUGCUGACUUUGUGCUGUUUCUCCCUUGUGCCCUGGUAUAGCUGUUUUCUACAUACUCUGCACCAGCAGCU